rnacentral:rRNA from 1 species
GGGCCCGCACAAGCGGUGGAGCAUGUGGUUUAAUUCGACGCAACGCGCAGAACCUUACCAGCCCUUGACAUGGGGAUCGCGAGGAGUGGAGACACACCUCUUCAGUUCGGCUGGAUCCCGCACAGGUGCUGCAUGGCUGUCGUCAGCUCGUGUCGUGAGAUGUUGGGUUAAGUCCCGCAACGAGCGCAACCCUCGUCCUUAGUUGCCAUCAGUUCGGCUGGGCACUCUAAGGAAACUGCCGGUGAUAAGCUGGAGGAAGGUGGGGAUGACGUCAAGUCCUCAUGGCCCUUACGGGCUGGGCUACACACGUGCUACAAUGGCGGUGACAGUGGGAUGCGAAGGGGCGACCCUGAGCUAAUCUCCAAAACCGUCUCAGUUCGGAUUGUUCUCUGCAACUCGAGAGCAUGAAGUUGGAAUC